GAGUUUGAUCGUGGCUCAGAACGAACGCUGGCGGCAUGCCUAACACAUGCAAGUCGAACGGGAUCCUGGUUUCGGCCAGGUGAGAGUGGCGGACGGGUGAGUAACGCGUGGGAACCUGCCCAGUGGUGGGGGAUAACUGCGGGAAACUGCAGCUAAUACCGCAUGAGCCCGAAAGGGGAAAGAUUCAUCGCCAUUGGAGGGGCCCGCGUUCGAUUAGGUAGUUGGUGGGGUAAUGGCCUACCAAGCCUGCGAUCGAUAGCUGGUCUGAGAGGAUGACCAGCCACACUGGUACUGAGACACGGACCAGACUCCUACGGGAGGCAGCAGUGGGGAAUAUUGCGCAAUGGGCGAAAGCCUGACGCAGCAACGCCGCGUGGGUGAUGAAGGCCUUCGGGU
rnacentral:rRNA from 1 species